UUCACCAAAACCGUGUUCAUACUGGUCGCCACAUUCACGCUAGACAAGUUCCGUCGCCGGCAGUUGCUCCUAACCAGCGUCGGCGGGAUGGUCGCCACACUGACACUCCUAGGAACGACGUUGACCGUCAUCGACCACUCCCAGGAAAAGGCAACCA